rnacentral:rRNA from 1 species
ACGGCUCAGUAACACGUGGAUAACCUACCCUUAGGACCGGGAUAACCCUGGGAAACUGGGGCUAAUACUGGAUAGAUGAUUUUUCCUGCAAUGGUAUUUUGUCUAAAUGUUUUUUCGCCUAAGGAUGGGUCUGCGGCCGAUUAGGUAGUUGGUUAGGUAAUGGCUUACCAAGCCGUUUAUCGGUACGGGUUGUGAGAGCAAGAGCCCGGAGAUGGAACCUGAGACAAGGUUCCGGGCCCUACGGGGCGCAGCAGGCGCGAAACCUCCGCAAUGUGAGAAAUCGCGACGGGGGGACCCCAAGUGCCAUUCUUAACGGGAUGGCUUUUCUUGAGUGUAAAAAGCUCUUGGAAUAAGAGCUGGGCAAGACCGGUGCCAGCCGCCGCGGUAACACCGGCAGCUCUAGUGGUAGCCAUUUUUAUUGGGCCUAAAGCGUUCGUAGCCGGUUUAAUAAGUCUCUGGUGAAAUCCUACAGCUUAACUGUGGGAAUUGCUGGAGAUACUAUUAGACUUGAGGUCGGGAGAGGUUAGAGGUACUCCCAGGGUAGGGGUGAAAUCCUGUAAUCCUGGGAGGACCACCUGUGGCGAAGGCGUCUAACUGGAACGAACCUGACGGUGAGGGACGAAAGCUAGGGGCGCGAACCGGAUUAGAUACCCGGGUAGUCCUAGCCGUAAACGAUGCGGACUUGGUGUUAGGAUGGCUUUGAGCCGCCCUAGUGCCGAAGGGAAGCUGUUAAGUCCGCCGCCUGGGAAGUACGGUCGCAAGACUGAAACUUAAAGGAAUUGGCGGGGGAG